GUCUACGGCCAUAACACCCUGAACGCGCCCGAUCUCAUCUGAUCUCGGAAGCUAACCAGGGCUGGGCUUGAUUAGUACUUGGAUGGGAGACCUAUAACCACACAAGUCUUGGGCC
ensembl:rRNA 5S_rRNA 5S ribosomal RNA